rnacentral:rRNA from 1 species
AUUCCGGAUAACGCAUAUUUGCUGGAAUGCUUUAUGCGUCAAAAGGAUUCGUCUGCCCAAGGAUGGGUCUGCGGCCUAUCAGGUAGUAGUGGGUGUAAUGUACCUACUAGCCAGCGACGGGUACGGGUUGUGAGAGCAAGAGCCCGGAGAUGGAUUCUGAGACAUGAAUCCAGGCCCUACGGGGCGCAGCAGGCGCGAAAACUUUACAAUGCGGGAAACCGUGAUAAGGGGACACCGAGUGCCAGCAUCAUAUGCUGGCUGUCCGGAUGUGUAAAAUACAUCCGUUAGCAAGGGCCGGGCAAGACCGGUGCCAGCCGCCGCGGUAACACCGGCGGCCCGAGUGGUGAUCGUGAUUAUUGGGUCUAAAGGGUCCGUAGCCGGUUUGGUCAGUCCUCCGGGAAAUCUGAUAGCUCAACUAUUAGGCUUUCGGGGGAUACUGCCAGACUUGGAACCGGGAGAGGUAAGAGGUACUACAGGGGUAGGAGUGAAAUCUUGUAAUCCCUGUGGGACCACCUGUGGCGAAGGCGUCUUACCAGAACGGGUUCGACGGUGAGGGACGAAAGCUGGGGGCACGAACCGGAUUAGAUACCCGGGUAGUCCCAGCCGUAAACGAUGCUCGCUAGGUGUCAGGCAUGGCGCGACCGUGUCUGGUGCCGCAGGGAAGCCGUGAAGCGAGCCACCUGGGAAGUACGGCCGCAAGGCUGAAACUUAAAGGAAUUGGCGGGGGAGCACAACAACGGGUGGAGCCUGCGGUUUAAUUGGACUCAACGCCGGACAACUCACCGGGGGCGACAGCAAUAUGUAGGCCAAGCUGAAGACUUUGCCUGAAUCGCUGAGAGGAGGUGCAUGGCCGUCGCCAGUUCGUACUGUGAAGCAUCCUGUUAAGUCAGGCAACGAGCGAGACCCGUGCCCACUGUUACCAGCAUGUCCUCCGGGACGAUGGGUACUCUGUGGGGGACCGCCGAUGUUAAAUCGGAGGAAGGUGCGGGCCACGGUAGGUCAGUAUGCCCCGAAUCUCCCGGGCUACACGCG